rnacentral:rRNA from 1 species
UACAGAGGGUGCGAGCGUUAAUCGGAAUUACUGGGCGUAAAGCGUGCGUAGACGGCUAUCUAAGUCGGGUGUGAAAGCCCCGGGCUCAACCUGGGAAUUGCGAUGGAGACUGCAAGGCUUGAAUCUGGCAGAGGGGGGUAGAAUUCCACGUGUAGCAGUGAAAUGCGUAGAGAUGUGGAGGAACACCGAUGGCGAAGGCAGCCCCCUGGGUCAAGAUUGACGCUCAUGCACGAAAGCGUGGGGAGCAAACAGG